AGGAUAAGGUGUUGAUUCUGUGACCCUGAUGAAGAAAUGUGCAAAGAUGACAUCCUUCACCAGAAUUGGGGACACGGAAGACCAGGGAGACUUGAAGAGAAACUGGAACAGAUCUCUAAAGAGUGAAAUGACAACUGGAAAGCAGAAAAGGUAUGAAAUGUAUGAAUGCCGUGGAUGUGGGAUCCAUUACCAUAUUCAGAUGCUCAGGCCAAAGGCAAAGGAGAUGGCCUGAGACCUAGCUGAACUCAAACUUCUCAGAGGACUUGGUGAUGCAUGCCAGUAAUCUCAGCAGUUUGGGAGGCUGAAGCAGGAGGAUCAAAAGUUGAAGACCAGCCUAAGCAAAUUGGUGAGGCCUUAAGCAACUCGGUGAGAACCUAUCUCUAAAUAAAAU